rnacentral:rRNA from 1 species
UACGGGAGGCAGCAGUGGGGAAUAUUGGGCAAUGGAGGCAACUCUGACCCAGCGACGCCGCGUGAAGGAAGAAGGUCUUCGGAUUGUAAACUUUAGUUAUCAGGGACGAAGGAAGUGACGGUACCUGAAGAGAAAGCCACGGCUAACUACGUGCCAGCAGCCGCGGUAAU